UCACCUUCUCUUCUCAACCUAGCCGUCACACUUCUUCUUCCUCACCCAUAUUUUUUUCUUCACCGAUUUACUUUUUCUUUUUCCCGUUUUUCCCUCUUUCUCUCUUCUAAAUCAAAGAUUUUGUUCCUCAUAUCAACACAACCACUCAACAAUGGACUAUGAAGCAUAUCGUUCUCGUCAAAACCGCUCCACCCAAAACCGAGAAGAACCCAGUGGUUCUGGGGCUGAGUUUCAAACCCCCUCCACACGAGCUUUGGGAUCGCUUACAGCUGCCUCACCUCCUAUCCUAAUGACCAUAGAGUAUUUCGUUUCUCAACCGAAAUGAGAACUUAUCCCAAAACUCCAUCCCAACUACAUCGGAUAUGCUACAUGAUCAAACUUUUGUAGGUUUGAGGCAUCUGGAAACGCCAUUAGCAAAUCUCUAAACUAGAUGAUCAAUCGAGGUGGCAAAGGGCAAGCAACGCACAACGCCGGGUCAACAAGCUUCUAUACCCGUGGAAAACAACUUGUAAGUUUCAACAUUUUGUAGCACAGUUCAAAACUUAACUUCAAUGAAGAUUAAAACUAAAAUUUGUUUUAAAGACUAAAAGAGAUGGUGUGGCUCCUGAUCACUUAACGUUGAUGGAAAACACCCACACCAACAAGAAGACCAAACAAAUUCAAGACCCCUUAGCUAAAGAAGUGAUUGAAAAUUCUCGUAAGAGGAUGGAGGAGUUUAGCUUAUCUCAACCUUCAGUCGAUGGAAAUGGCUUACCAACACCAGUCCCCGUCGAUUCUUUUGAUUAUCUCAACCUUCAUUCUUUUGAUACAUUUUGCUUAUGAUUCUUUUUAUACAUUUUGCUUAUUCUUAACAAAUGUUGACUUUGUGCUUGUUUAUCAUCUUCAUCACCAAUAUAUGAUCGUGAUCCUGAGCUUGUUCGAGCCCUCCAAGAGAAAGAUGACCGUAUUGAAGCUCUUGAGAAGAUGAUAGAAAAAGAGAAUGAGAGGAACAAGCUGAGAGAUGAGGAGCUUGCAUCGUUUAUGGCAGAGAUGCGAUCAAAGUUCCCGGUGAAUUCAAGUUCUAAGACCUAUUUUCACAAUAUUUAAGUUUCAGUUUCUAUUUCUAUUUCUUUUUUAUUUGUGUAUAUUGCAUUUUAUU